UUUAGGCAGAAUCUCACUCUGUCACCCAGGCUAGAGUGCAGUGGCACGAUUUAGGCUCACUGCAACCUCCGCUUCCCGGGUUCAAGCGAUUCUCCUGCCUCAUCCUCCUGAAUAGCUGGGAUUACAGGCACCUGCCACCACGCUUAGCCGAUUUUUUGUAUUUUUGGUAGAGACAGGGUUUUACCAUAUUGGUCAGGCUGGUCUUGAACUCCUGACCUCAAGUGAUCCACCCGCCUUGGCCUCUCAAAGUGCUGGGUUACAGCGUGAGCCACCGCACCUGGCUAAAAAUUUCUUUUCUCUCUCCCAUGUUCAUUCUCUGCCUCUUCUUCUGUUACCCAGCAUGGUUGGUGACCUAACCAUGGAGUGGGCCUGCCUGUUGAGCCAUUCUGCUGUGAAGAGAUGGGGCAUACGUGGAAUGUUCAUGUUUCUGUCUGCCUUCACUUUCGAGCAUGUUCUGUGUACCAGGCCCCAUACAAAGUGCUUUAGGUGGAGAAGUGAGGCACAGUGAAGCCAGAGGAGCCUGGUCAGACGGUAUUCUGUCAAAACGUGGCUAGGAAGAUAGGCUGCAUGUGCAAGCGUGGGAACCACCCCCUUAAAUGAAAUGCAAUGUUGCUCAGCAAGGAAGAACUCCCGAGACAUCCUUCCACCGUCGUGCCAUUGGAGGGCAUGGCGCCGGCUUCCUUCCUGAGUCACUCACUGUUUACGGGCAGCCGCUGGCUUCCAGGCCGCGUCCCCUCCAGUAAAAAGGGGGCGUGCUUGGUAGAGAUCCUUGAGACCUUUGAUGGCAGGAUCUGAAACAAGGCCAGGCCCCAUUAUAGGGCAAUUACCCUUCAGGCUGAUUGGUGCAGAGACGCUGUAAACGCACCUUUGCGGAACACAGACGACACAGGAAAGACGUUUGGCAGUAAUACUACGACAGCGAGGGGCCCGGGAAGCCCGCGGAAACGCAGGAGGCGGCCAGGAGAGGCAGCGCUACGCACAUCCCCCCCACCUUCGGAGCCCUGUCCUAGCUUAGGCUGAGACAACUGGGAGGGGCUGGCUUCUUUGUUCCCCUCUUUCCCCGCAACCUGCCAGAGGGAACUGGAGAGAGGGGUCCUCCUAGCUUUAGGCACACUUAAAGCAGCCUGCCAGGAAGGAAAUGCGGGGGCUCCACCUUAGAGGCGGUCGAGGCCAGCGUGAAAGCACAGGGUGGCGACCACUUCCCCCACCCCCCACCCCGGUUCUCAUCCCCGGCCUACCCUCCUGCCUCCUGCCCAGAGCCCAGACUACAUGCAAGGCCUUGCGCCAGAUCCUGGAGAUGCCACGAUGAAGGUGGGAGGUGACAUUUUAAAAUAUCCCUCAAUUCCAGCACUUUGAGAGGCCGAGGGGGGCGGAUCACUUGAGAUUAGGAGUUCGAGACCAGCCUGGCCAACAUGGUAAAACCCUAUCUCUACUAAAAAUAAAAGAAUUCGCCGGGCAUAGUGAUGCACGCCUGUAAUCCCAGCUAUUCCGGAGGCUGAGGCAGGAGAAUCACUUGAACCCAGGAGAGGUUGCAGUGAGCCGAGAUCGUGCCACUGCACUCCAGCCUGGGUGAAAAAGCCAGACCUUGUCUCAAAACAACAGCAGCAGCAGCAGCAGCAGCA
rnacentral:lncRNA from 1 species